rnacentral:tRNA from 1 species
GCUCCCUUCGUCUAGCGGCCCAGGACACCGGCCUCUCACGCCGGUAACAGGGGUUCGAUUCCCCUAGGGAGCGCCA